rnacentral:sRNA from 1 species
GCUGGGCAUGUGGCGCUCGCCUGUAAUCCCAGCCUCUUGGGAGGCUGAGGCAGGCGCAUUGAAGGUUCAAAGCCAGCCUCAG